GCGUACAAUUACCCAGUGCGUACAAUAACCCUACUUUCCCCUAGUAGCGGCGCGCAAGCGCGUGCGCGUGGCCACGCAUCACUACGCAGUACGCAGUGCCAGCAGUCGGUCGGUUAGGGAGCUCGGCGGAAGGUCGCGGUGCGUUGCAGCGCAUUUCAACUCGUAUCCUCGUCAUCCCGUACGAGUGUUUGAUGCGAGCGAGUGUUUCGAGAGUGUCGUGAACUGCCGAAAGUGAAGUGUCGGCCUUCGUACCGACAUCCGUCGUGUCGAAUGCAUGGUGCGAAGUCGUGUCGCGUUCAAUUGUGUUUCGCAGCUUCUCCGUUGCCUCUUAUUCCGAGUUUCUGACACUCGUAAGCACCAGGAGGGUUUCGAGAGUUCCGAAAACGAAGGCUCGCGCGUGCCAAGUAUGAAUUCAAGACGAAUCGUCGUGAGAAAAAUCUUGGAUUCUUCGUGUCGCUCAGACGACAAUAAUCGGUCGGGAUGGCACGAAGUCGCGUCGCGCGUUUAAUCGCGUCUUCUCCGUUGCCCCGUAUCCCGUAUCUCGAGUUUUCGACAGGCGUGAGUACCGGAGGUGCCGAAAACGAACUGAGUGUCGCGCGUUUGUGCCAAGUAUGAAUCGAGAGGAGGAUCUUGAAUCUUCGCAAGCGGCGGCUGAGACUACGAGACGGAGCGAUCAGCGAACGUAUGGGAAGGCUCUUGCGAUUGAUCAGCGCUAAUUGCGCAUCCGCAAUUUCCGCUCAAUGGGACAUAGGAAAAUACACCUUAGCGGAGCGGAAUCGGCGGAAUGAAGCUGCUACCAAUCACGAACGUUCCGCCAUUCCGCAUCCCAUGUGAGCGCACCCUUAUUUAUUAUCAACAAUGAUAUAUUUAUCAGAUGACUACCAGUUGAUGUGUUAAAAUAGAUUUUAUUCAUUGCAAUUGAAAGAAUAAUACUGUUCUAUCUUGUUAUAAUUUAUCAGUUUUAUUGCGUACAUAUAGUAUUACAUUGUUUUUUAUUACUGUAGAUAAUUGGGUUUUUGUACCAUAAAUUAUGACUAAAAUAUUGUUGCA